rnacentral:rRNA from 1 species
AUUGAACGCUGGCGGCAUGCUUUACACAUGCAAGUCGGACGGCAGCACGGACUUCGGUCUGGUGGCGAGUGGCGAACGGGUGAGUAAUACAUCGGAACGUACCCAGUAAUGGGGGAUAACUAUGCGAAAGGAUAGCUAAUACCGCAUACGCCCUACGGGGGAAAGAGGGGGAUCGCAAGACCUCUUGUUAUUGGAGCGGCCGAUGGCUGAUUAGCUAGUUGGUAGGGUAAAGGCCUACCAAGGCAACGAUCAGUAGCGGGUCUUAGAGGACGAUCCGCCACACUGGAACUGAGACACGGUCCAGACUCCUACGGGAGGCAGCAGUGGGGAAUCUUGGACAAUGGGCGCAAGCCUGAUCCAGCAAUGCCGCGUGCGUGAAGAAGGCCUUCGGGUUGUAAAGCGCUUUUGUCAGGGAGCAAAUCCUUGUGGCUAAUACCCACCGGGGGUGAGAGUACCUGAAGAAUAAGGACCGGCUAACUACGUGCCAGCCGCCGCCGUAA